rnacentral:tRNA from 1 species
AUGGCUUAGUGUGUAGAGCAUGACACUUACAAUGUCAGAGUUGUGGAUUCGUUUCUCACU